rnacentral:rRNA from 1 species
UACAGAGGGUGCAAGCGUUAAUCGGAAUUACUGGGCGUAAAGCGUGCGUAGACGGCUAUCUAAGUCGGGUGUGAAAGCCCCGGGCUCAACCUGGGAAUUGCAUUCGAGACUGCGUAGCUAGGGUGCGGAAGAGGGAAGCGGAAUUUCGGGUGUAGCGGUGAAAUGCGUAGAUAUCCGAAGGAACAUCAGUGGCGAAAGCGGCUUCCUGGUCCAGCACCGACGUUCAGGCACGAAAGCGUGGGGAGCAAACAGG